AUUUUAGCCUACUUAUGGUCAUAUUUGAAUUAAAAGAUAUAUGGUUGACAAAUAAAUACAUAUAAUUUCUAGCAAUUAUUAUGGGUUGGUUCUUUAGUGUAUUGUUUUUGGGAUUUUGAAAAAAGUCUUAUCGAAUAUUAAGGAAAACCUGGUUGGGUUCAUGCCGAUCCUCUUAGGUCCAGGUGUGUUUGAUAUCAGUUAUAUCAAAAUAAAUUUGAUAUAUUUUGAAAAUCAACUUGUGAUUUAAAAACGCGGAUCAAAAUCUAGUUUUAUAUUAAAAUAGUGUAUAUAUAGUUUACAUUGUAACUUAAAUUCAACCUUUAGCUAACAUAUUGAUUCAAACAACUCA
rnacentral:lncRNA from 1 species